UGGCUAACUCCGUGCCAGCAGCCGCGGUAAUACGGAGAGGGCUAGCGUUAUUCGGAAUUAUUGGGCGUAAAGGGCGCGUAGGCUGGUUAAUAAGUUAAAAGUGAAAUCCCGAGGCUUAACCUUGGAAUUGCUUUUAAAACUAUUAAUCUAGAGAUUGAAAGAGGAUAGAGGAAUUCCUGAUGUAGAGGUAAAAUUCGUAAAUAUUAGGAGGAACACCAGUGGCGAAGGCGUCUAUCUGGUUCAAAUCUGACGCUGAAGCGCGAAGGCGUGGGGAGCAAACAGGAUUAGAUACCCUGGUAGUCCAC
rnacentral:rRNA from 1 species